rnacentral:rRNA from 1 species
AACGAACGCUGGCGGCGUGCUUAACACAUGCAAGUCGAACGGAAAGGCCUGCUUUCUCUUGUGGCUUGCGGGUACUCGGGGGGCGAACCGGUGAGUAACACGGGAGUGAUCUGCCCCCAACUCGGGUAUAAGCCUGGGAAAUCGGGUCUAAUUCCCGAUAGGACUGGAGGGUGGUGCCUGUGGUGGAAAAGGAAGUUUUAGCGCCUUGGGAUGAGCUGGCGGCGUAUCAGCUAGUUGGUGGGGUAAUGGCCUACCAAGCCGGCGACGGGUAGCCGGCCUGAGAGGAUGAGCAGCCACCCUGAGACUGAGAGGAGGCCCAGACUCCUACGGGAGGAAGCAGUGGGGAAGAUUGGACCAGGGGCGCAGGCCUGAUGCAGCCAGGCUGCGGGAGGGAUGAAGGCCUUAGCGGUGUAAAGCCCUCUUGCCUGGGAGGGUAGUGACGGUAGCGGGAGAAGAAGCACCGGCUAACUCCGUG